rnacentral:tRNA from 1 species
UCCCUGGUGGUCCAAAGGCAAAGACUCCCCACUCCCAAUGCCGGGGGCCCAGGUUUAAUCCCUGGUCAGGGAA